GACAGAGGUGCCGAGCGUUAGGCGGAAUCACUGGGCUUAAAGCGUGUGUAGGCGGACGGGUAAGUACCUUGUGAAAUCCCACGGCUCAACCGUGGAACUGCUUGGUAUACUGGUUGUCUUGGGCCAUCUAGGGGCUAGCGGAACAAACGGUGGAGCGGUGAAAUGCGUAGAUAUCGUUUGGAACGCCAAUGGUGAAAACAGCUAGCUGGGGAUGUGCCGACGCUGAGACACGAAAGCCAGGGGAGCGAACGGG
rnacentral:rRNA from 1 species